rnacentral:rRNA from 1 species
GGAGCAUGUGGUUUAAUUCGAUGCAAGCGAAGAACCUUACCUAGGCUUGAAAUGCAGUAGACCGGGUAUGAAAGUACCCUUCUUCGGGCUGCUGUACAGGUGCUGCAUGGCUGUCGUCAGCUCGUGCCGUGAGGUGUUGGGUUAGUCCCGCAACGAGCGCAACCCCUACCAUUAGUUGCCAUCAGGUAAUGCUGAGCACUCUAUGGGACUGCCUACGCAAGUAGUGAGGAAGGUGGGGAUGACGUUAAGUCCGCAUGGCCCUACGCCUAGGGCUACACACGUGCUACAAUGGAUACAACAACGGGUUGCGAAACCGCGAGGGGAGCCAAUCCCUCAAAUGUAUCCUCAGUUCGGAUUGGAGUCUGCAACUCGACUCCAUGAGUUGGAAUUGCUAGUAAUCGCGGAUCAGCACGCCGCGGUGAAUACGUUCCCGGGCCUUUACACACCGCCCGUCAAGCCAUGGAAGCCGGGGGUACCCAAAGCCAGUGUCCUAACCGCAGGAGGGAGCUGUUUAAGGUAAAACCGGUGACUGGGGCU